rnacentral:rRNA from 1 species
CCCUACGGGGSGCAYCAGGCGCGAAAACUUUACAAUGCCGGCAACGGCGAUAAGGGGACCUCGAGUGCCAGGUUACAAAUCUGGCUGUCGCGAUGCCUAAAGAGCAUUGCAUAGCAAGGGCCGGGCAAGACCGGUGCCAGCCGCCGCGGUAACACCGGCGGCUCGAGUGGUAACCGUUAUUAUUGGGUCUAAAGGGUCUGUAGCCGGCCGGGUAAGUCUCUUGGGAAAUCCAGCAGCUCAACUGUUGGGCUUUCAGGAGAUACUGCCUGGCUCGAGGCCGGGAGAGGUGAGAGGUACUUCAGGGGUAGGGGUGAAAUCUUGUAAUCCUUGAAGGACCACCAGUGGCGAAGGCGUCUCACCAGAACGGACCUGACGGCAAGGGACGAAAGCUAGGGGCACGAACCGGAUUAGAUACCCGGGUAGUCCUAGCCGUAAACGAUACUCGCUAGGUGUCGGCCACGGUGCGACCGUGGUCGGUGCCGUAGGGAAGCCGUGAAGCGAGCC